AUGCAUUUUAUAUAUCAAUGGUGUCACCAACCAUUAUUUUUUUUGCUACAACUACUAUUCCUUAUGCUACACACUAUUUGGAGACCAUUUUUCCCAACCCGACAUCAAUGCAUUCAAGAAAUUACCAUUUUUUGCCUGGAUGCAUGCUUCUGAACAAUUUAUGUGGUCCAGAUGCAUCCGUCCGAACAUAUGGAGGGUUCACCCAAGCUAUUUACCUUUAUUAGAACCCUAUAUGUUAAUUGAUGAAGGGGGUGGGUGUUGGACCAAAAAUAAAGGAUGGAAGGGACAAAUCUAA